AAUGGGUCAGUUUAUGGGAGAAGUGAAUUAUAUAUUCACCGCUGCACAUAUAUUAACAUUGUAACAACAAUGCUAGAAUUAUUACUAUUGAUAGUAAAAUAUUGUCCAGUAUGAUUCCCAAAAAUGUUAAUUGAGAAAGUAAUUUUAAUAAAUGUAAUUUUCACUUCUCUUUUAUGCAGAAUCAGACAAUGUAACAGCUACAGCUGGUUCAAAAUACAUCAACUAUAACAGAUUGGUGAUAGGCCUGGUAUUGGGACUAGGAAUCCCACUACUCCUACUACUGCUUGCUUUAUUAGUUUUCUGUUGUUGCAUUAGGAGGAGAGUAAAAGCAGACAUCGCUUCAACAGCAAAUGGGUGUGUACAUCAAGGGAAAUCUUUACAGCCUGAUUAUCAUGUUAAAACUCCUGUUUAUAAUGUACAUCAUCUACCUUCAUAUAUAUAAGAUGCAGCAUGCAGAUACACCUGAAGAAACUUGAAUAUGUUCUAUGGAAAUAAAUAAUAAAGAUUAUAUAAUAAUGAAAAUAUUUAGGUGUUAUAUGUAACCUUUUCAUGUAUAUGUUUACAAUAUGGGACAGAGUACUUAUCAACUGAAACAUUUAGAUAAAUAAAGCAAUUACUUCCAACCUGUGUGUGUUAUGGACCUUCUGAAAAUAUUAAAUGAUUCUUGUGAACCUCCAUUCAAUCUGAGAUUAGUCUCAGUGGCCAUUACAACAUAGAAUUUCACAGAUGGCUUUUACCUGCAUCUUUGUUCAAGCUGCCUUUUCAAAUAUACAGGUACUAGAUGUCAUUCCUCUGGGAUCCUGUUUCCCUUUUCAUUUUUAGAUAAUCUGUUCUGCAGUAAAUUCAUAGAAUAUUUUGCAAAUAUUUCCAUUUGUUUACCAGCCUAAUUCUAUCAGAAAUAUAAUUUCCUUGAUUUGCAUUGUAUUUGUUAUCAAAUUAAGGUAAUGUUCUAUCGAGCCAAUCUAGUUUAAUUGUUUAAGUUUAUUAGUCAUCAAUAAUUCACAAAAGUUUAGGUUUAGCAGAACCUUUUAACUUACUGUGAAAGCAUUAAGUCAUGUGCAAUCCAAUACCUAUAUUAAAAAAAGCUUUUUCUAUCUGCCUCAAUGUUUGCAUGCCAUCUGACUCAUGUCAUCAUUCUUUCUCCAAGUUUACAGACAGAUUUUGUAACUUUCUAAUUCUAAUGUAACUUUCUAAUGUUUAUCUAUUAUUGUUUAAUUUUGUGAAAAUUCGAAGGUAUGUACAUUUCACAGCCUCCAUUUUAAUUAUCUCCAAUAUAAGUAACAAAGCGUUAUUUUAGACUUGAUUUUGUUUGUCUUUUCUUGUCCCAAUUGCUCCCGUUCUGAUGUUACGUGUGCUUUGACAUUGCACAAUCCUGGUAAAGCAUAAUAAACUGUUGAUGCACA